UACGUAGGUGGCCAGCGUUAUCCGGAUUUACUGGGUUUAAAGGGUGCGCAGGCGGAUAUGUAAGUCAGUGGUGAAAUCUCUAGGCUUAACCUGGAAAUUGCCGUUGAUACUAUAUAUCUUGAAUGCUGUGGAGGUAAGCGGAAUAUGUCAUGUAGCGGUGAAAUGCUUAGAUAUGACAUAGAACACCUAUUGCGAAGGCAGCUUACUACGCAGAUAUUGACGCUCAUGCACGAAAGCGUGGGGAUCAAACAGG
rnacentral:rRNA from 1 species